rnacentral:rRNA from 1 species
UAGGGAAUCUUCCGCAAUGGACGAAAGUCUGACGGAGCAACGCCGCGUGAGUGAUGAAGGCUUUCGGGUCGUAAAACUCUGUUGUUAGGGAAGAACAAGUGCUAGUUGAAUAAGCUGGCACCUUGACGGUACCUAACCAGAAAGCCACGGCUAACUACGUGCCAGCAGCCGCGGUAAUACGUAGGUGGCAAGCGUUAUCCGGAAUUAUUGGGCGUAAAGCGCGCGCAGGUGGUUUCUUAAGUCUGAUGUGAAAGCCCACGGCUCAACCGUGGAGGGUCAUUGGAAACUGGGAGACUUGAGUGCAGAAGAGGAAAGUGGAAUUCCAUGUGUAGCGGUGAAAUGCGUAGAGAUAUGGAGGAACACCAGUGGCGAAGGCGACUUUCUGGUCUGUAACUGACACUGAGGCGCUAAAGCGUGGGGAGCAAACAGG